rnacentral:rRNA from 1 species
GGAAUAAGUAACGAUAAGGAGGGUUAGAUUCCCUCCCGCUGUAAGACCAAGGUUUCCCGGGCAAUGCCAAUCAGCCCGGGGUCAGUCGGGUCCUAAGUCUAAGCCGAACGGCGAUGGCGAUGGCAGAGACGGUUAAUAUUCCGUCACUGCCGCAUGGAGCGACGUGGAGACGGAGCAGUGAAACCACCGCGGGGCGACGGAAGUCCCCGUUGAAGAGUGUAGGCGUUGAGGAUGGCAGGCAAAUCCACCGUCCGAGCUGAACUUGAUAGUAUGGAGUCUUCUUCGGAAGAAUCCAAUAGUGUGGGUAAUCAUACUCCCGAGAAAAUCCGCUAAGCUUAACCCAUGCGGCACCCGUACCGCAAACGGACACACGUGGUCGGGUAGAACAUACUGUGGCGUUGAGAGAUUCAUGGUUAAGGAACUAGGCAAAUUGACCCUGUAACUUCGGGAUAAAGGGUCCUCGUGAAGAGCGAGGCGCAGAGAAUAGGUCCAGGCAACUGUUUAACAAAAACACAGGGCUGUGCAAACUCGAAAGAUGACGUAUACAGCCUGACACCUGCCCGGUGCCGGAAGGUUAAGAGGAGAUGUCACACUUAUGUGGAAGCAUUGAAUUGAAGCCCCGGUAAACGGCGGCCGUAACAAUAACGGUCCUAAGGUAGCGAAAUUCCUUGUCGGGUAAGUUCCGACCUGCACGAAUGGUGUAAUGAUCCGGACGCUGUCUCAACCAUGAGCUCAGUGAAAUUGUAGUAUCGGUGAAGAUGCCGAUUACCCGCGAUGGGACGAAAAGACCCCGUGAACCUUUACUACAGCUUAGCAUUGACCUUGGUCAUCCGAUGUGUAGAAUAGGCCGGAGGCUUCGAAGCGGGAGCGCCAGCUUUCGUGGAGCCAUCCUUGAAAUACGGCCCUUUGGCUGUCUGAGGUCUAACGCGCGAUGCGCGGACACUGCUUGGUGGGUAGUUUGGCUGGGGUGGUCGCCUCCAAAAGCGUAACGGAGGCUUCCAAAGGUGCCCUCGGGUCGAUUGGUAACCGACCUCAAAGAGUGCAAUGGCAUAAGGGCGCUUGACUGGGAGGCAGACAUGCCGAGCAGGCAGGAAACUGGGGCAUAGUGAUCCGGCGGAUGUGUAUGGAAACUCCGUCGCUCAAAGGAUAAAAGGUACUCCGGGGAUAACAGGCUGAUCCCCCCCAAGAGCUCAUAUCGACGGGGUGGUUUGGCACCUCGAUGUCGGCUCGUCACAUCCUGGGGCUGGAGAAGGUCCCAAGGGUUGGGCUGUUCGCCCAUUAAAGUGGCACGCGGGCCGGGUUCAGAACGUCGUGAGACAGUUCGGUCUCUAUCUAUCGUGGGCGUGGGAGUUUUGCGUGGUGCCGUCACUAGUACGAGAGGACCGUGAUGGACAGACCUCCGGUUUACCAGUUGUGCCGCCAGGCGCACCGCUGGGUAUCUGAGUCUGGAUUGGAUAAGCGCUGAAAGCAUCUAAGUGCGAAGCCAGCCGCAAGAUGAGAACUCCAUUGAGGGUCGUCAGAGACGAUGACGUUGAUAGGAUGCAGGUGUAAAGACAGCGAUGUCAAAGCCGAGCAUUACUUAUUGCCC